rnacentral:lncRNA from 1 species
CUGUUGGUUCGCGUCGCCGUUCUCUUUGCUCUGCUCUGCUGUUGGCUACUGUGGGCCGCGAACUUAAAUUAUGACUUCAAAAUUUCACCUUAUAAUAUAACUUAGAAACUAAUAAUGGAAAAUUAUAAACUUAAUAAUAAAGACUUCAUGAUACCUCUCCUAAAUAUAUAAAACAAGUAACUUUCUUAGUGAAAACUUAACCCUAUAUAUAUAACAACGACUUCAUAAUUUCCCCUUUAUAAUAGAACUUAUAUAUCUACCAAUUAUAACUACUUACAUCCUACAAAAUUGUGCGUCGUCACACCCCCCACCUCCUUUCUUCCCGGGUGAUAUCUGAUGGCGACGCCGCCGGACGGGGUGAUCGUGAUCUUGAACGUGCUUUCCGGCCACUCCAGGGUGAAGCGUCGCCUCCAGGUCCCCUGUUGUUGGCUUGUUCGGACCAUUUCAACGAGGCUCCGGGGGAUGAGUCGGCGUGGGGUAUUCGUCCGCCAUUCGGCAGGUGCCUCAACCCACUUUUCCUCCUCCUGCAGCAGCUCCGCUGUCAGGGCUUUGACAUCAACUUCUGGUCCGAGAAGAGCUUGGAGGUCGCUGCUGCCGAACGACAAGUCCAGCUCGUCGGUGUCUUGGGCUGGCGAUAGCCCGAGCGAAGCGAAUGAAGCAGUCGGUGUUGCUGCUGUUCGCGAGGUCGACACCCCUAACUCGUCACUGACGACGGCCACCCGGGCGACUCUCUCCACCGCUUCGUCCUCUGGUUGCAGCCACGAAUCCGGUUCCGGGUAGAGGUAUCGGUAUAUGUCGCUCUCUGUGCUCGGGAAAAGCUCUGUGCUGAUGUCGUCGAACUGCGACCUUCCUCGGGCGGGUUCGGCCUCGUUUCCCUCGUCCUCGAACCCCUCGAACCGGCGUUGAUACUGAGGAACCCAGCCCCAGUUGUUUUGCCGUUCGUCUGCCCACUGUCGCCACGGCUCCUCGAUCUCCUCGUCGGCCAUGGUAGUACUAAGUGCUGUGGGAUAUAAACGAGGUUAUAUCCCUGGGCCUAUGGGCAGACUAUGCUCUACAGGACAAUAGUCUGGUGCGAAAUUUUAAACUUGAAAAUAUCCUAACGAAAUAUUACUACCGAUGUUAUACAAUGUCUUAUACUAAUCCGCCUUGUGGGCGGCCCCAAAUUUACUUGCUGGUCCUGGCUGGUCGUCUGUUGUGCGGUCGAGCGGGUGCUCGCCGUCUUCGCUGUCCUGCUGUUCCUCGUCGUCGUGUUGCUGGAAGGCCUUUAGGUCGGCUACCCCGGCGGUGCGCCGUUGUCCAGUCUCCGUGUGACGAACUCUGGCUAUGUUGGGUGAAUCGAAUUUGGUUACCUUAUACGGCCCCUCGUACCGUGGGGCUAACUUGGCGGCGAACCCGUCGUUGGCUUUCGAUAGCACGUGUUGCUUCACUAGCACCAAGCUGCCAAUGGUUGGUUUCCAAUCGCGUCCUCGUAGGUUGUAGUGGCGGCCCUGUUCCGCCGAUGCUCGCUGUGCGUUGUCCCUUGCCGCCUGGAAAACCUCGUACAGCUGUUUCGCCCUGGUUUCGGGAUCGGCAGCGACUAUUCCGGAUCCUGGCGUGACUUCCUCGUACAAUGCUCCUGGUAGUCUCGGCUCUCGUCCUUGGACCAGGAACGCCGGACUGAAUCCUGUUGUGUCGGACACGCUGCUAUUGAUUGCCAAUGUAAUCUCCGGUAGCAGGGUGUCCCAUGUACUAUGCGGUCCCUCGAUGUACUGUGCGAUCAUGGUCUUGAUGGUCCGGUUAGCUCUCUCCGUCGGGUUUUGCUGUGGAUUGUACGGCGCAGUAUACUCCAGUGUCAUACCUGCCCGCUUACAAAACGCUUUAAAGGAACGACUGGUAAAUUGAGUCCCGUUGUCGCAGAUGAACUUCCGGGGUAUCCCAAAUCGGCUGAGGAUCCGGUCGCGAAAAGCUUUCUCCAGGUAUGUUGCCGUGGCACGGCGCAGAGGUAUCAACUCCACCCAUUUGGAAAACAUAUCUAAGAAGACUAGUAACACUGUGUUACCUUGUUUGGAUCUCGGCAGUGGUCCAACGAAGUCGGCGCAAAUGCCGGUGCCCAUGUCACGACAUGAGUUUAUUGAUGGCUUAUUAGACCUGUCCCUGUCUCAAGUCAACCAUGUAAAAAACUCCUUGGGUCGAUUGCUUGAUCUGUGCUUUGUCUCGGAUCCGACCGUAGCGUUGUUAACAC